GCCCCUGUGGCUCAGUUGGUAGAGCAUGGUGUUUGCAACGCCAGCAUGGUGUGUACAACGCCAGGGUUGUGGGUUCGAUUCCCACGGGGGGCC
rfam:Salmo salar isolate Sally breed double haploid chromosome ssa07, whole genome shotgun sequence.